rnacentral:rRNA from 1 species
CGAAGGGUGCUAGCGUUGUUCGGAAUUACUGGGCGUAAAGGGUGCGUAGGUUGUAUGGUUAGUUAGUGGUGAAAGCCCAGGGCUUAACUCUGGAAUUGCCAUUAAAACUGCCAUGCUAGAGAGUGUUAGAGGUAAGUGGAAUUCCUAGUGUAGGAGUGAAAUCCGUAGAUAUUAGGAGGAACAUCAAUGGCGAAGGCAGCUUACUGGGUCACAUCUGACACUGAGGCACGAAAGCGUGGGUAGCAAACAGGAUUAGAUACCCUGGUAGUCCACGCCCUAAACGAUGGAUGCUAAAUGUCGGGACAUUAGUUUCGGCGUUGUAGUUAACGCGUUAAGCAUCCCGCCUGGGGAGUACGGUCGCAAGAUUA